CGCAUCCUCCGUGAAGAUCUGGGCCCCAUUUCCCAGCUCCCCAGAGCUCCGGGAGCACGCAGAACACCAAGCACCCCUCAAAGCCUCGUCAUCCUUGAACCAUAGCUUUCUCCAGAGAUGUGUCCCCACACCCGGUUGACCUGGGUUCCCUGGAAGGCAAGGAAGGUAGAACCCAUCUUCGUGUGUCUCCCAGAGGGGAGAAGCUCUGGGCUAAGAGGGGGAGCAGAACUCCUGGACUUGCUGACAUCUCGGUAACUCCUGCUGCUUUCCUUACCCAUCUUACUGAGCAGGUCCACCCAUGGCUUUCCAUCUUGCUCUGCCAGUGCUCCGCGGGUCUGCCGGCCAUGUGAGGCAAAGGACACUGAUGGUUUUCCUAGCUGAAGCAAAAGAGACUAACAUGCUGAUCACUCACUGACCCUUGGAACUCUGUCUGGGAGGGACACCUGCCACUUCUGCUCACUUUUCAUCGGCCAAGGCAAGUCAUAUGGCCAAGCCCAAUCCCCCCUACCGGAGGAAGUAAAGUCCUCCUCUACCAAAUCACAAUCAACCCUACCACACAGAGGUCCCUAGAGUAAGUUCUGCGUUAGGCCAUACUGGGGUCCAGCCGCAGCCCUCGGGAGAGGGAGCGACCUCAGAAUCCGGCUGAGGACAACCGUCGAGGGGGAGUUACAAACGAGUCCCUGGAGCAUAAGUUCCACAGGGACAGUUCUUGGUCUGUUUUGUUUGCUGGUGUAUCCUAAGGGCCAAGACAGGCUCUUCAACACAUAUGUGUUGCUGAAUGGAUUAUAAAUGGGUUUAAGAUGCACCCUGACCAUUCCUGUCUCAGCCAAGGGGGAUCUGGGUUCCACCCUCUGGUGUGUUUGAAUGAGAAGACAGGCACACUCAGAGAACCCAUAGCUCUCUGAUGGAAGCAGAUGAGUUGGGACUUUACCUUCCACUUUGGGAUGCUGUGUUUUUAGCUUGUUUUGGUCUAUCCCAGGAGUCAGGAAAUUUUUUUUUUGGUAAAGAGCAGAUAUUAAAUAUUUUUGGCUUUGUAGGCCAUAUUGUACAUUCUCUGUUGCAAGCACUCAAGUCUGUUGUAAUGCAAAAGCAGCCAUAAACAGUGUGUAAAUCUUCCAAGUCUGGUUAUGUUCCAAUAAAACUUUAUUUACAAAGACAGGCAGUGGGCUGGAUUUGGCCAGUGGGUGGUAGUUGGCCUGUCCCUAGUCUAGCCACAGGAAUGGGUUCUCAAGCUCUUGCUUUCUCCAGUAUUACUUUCAGGGCCAUGGUAGGGUCAUACACUUAUCACUUGACUUUCUUCUCCAUAAAAUGAAGGGCCACAAUAUUGUAGUUCUGAGACCUCUUGUCAACUGCUUUGAGUGUUUAAGGCUUUGGUUUAUUUUUGUCCAGCGAUUGUGUUAACCCCUAAAUGUCCCUGACCUGCCCAGGGUUUAGGUCUCACAGUGCUAUUGUAAAUCCCAGGUGCUCUGCCCCACCGGUACGCUCAUCUGUCUUGCGUUUGGGUCAUGAGCUCAGUCACUGUUUGACUUCUCCAAGGACCCCCGUGACUCCUGUGAGGGGAAGACAAGGGCCUGUGGUUGGUGAAGGGGGAGGAGCCCGCCUCUCCCCUCACAGUUCAGUUGGUCUGAGAAGUAUAGCAUCUAUUUUCUUAGGGAUGUGGCUCAGAUAUUUUCAUUUCAUGGAACCCGAUACCUCAGACUCACAGAUUUUUUUCCAGGCUGGAAUGCCUCUGGUAUAAUAUGACAGUCUGGAGAGGAUUAGCCAGCCACCCCCUCUUUCUGGGUCAGUACCAGGCUUGUGCAAUUAGAAGUCCAAGGAAGAGACAGGCAGACAGUCAGACUCACCCUUGCCAACAACCCUCCCCCGCAGCCUUCUAGUUCGUUGUAUGGAGUUUUAGAGCAGGAAGAGACCUUGUACCUAGUGAACUCUUGUCCAUCUGAUUCCAUUUGGAUGCUUGAACAUCGCGAGGACCCAAAGGCAACUCUCUUGCCCUGCGUGCCAAAGCCAGAGCUUUACCCCAUGGGCACUCCACACCCUUCAGCUAAUUUCCAGACUGCUGUCCACCACUCCUCCCCAUCUCCUCCAGCAAGAUAAACACAUCUGCCACCCCAUCCUGAGGGAACUGGGAGGGGAGGAAGGAGGGAGGAGGGAGCCUCCCAGUGUAGACAAUCAGAGACACGGCCUUGACUUUGGGCUGUGAAGAGACAACUGCCUCCCUUCUCCAGCUGGCGGAGCAGGGACCCCAGGGAGCUCAAGCUGUGGGGGAGGAGAAAUUGGCCAGGGAGAAAAGAUAAAGGAGAAAAGGGGAGGAGUCUGGCUAGCUCCCACCUCCUGGCUGAGGGUCCAGCCAAGUGGCUGAGCAAGAGAAAGAGAACUGAUAGCAGAUAAGGGUGCUUGCUUUCCUGUGGCCUUGUUUACGCAAACUUGGGUUCCUGCCACUGGUCCAUGCGGGUGGGAGCGGAGCAGGGGAGCUAUGUGGGUGGGGGACGGUGUGAGGUUCCUGGGCUGAGGCUUGCUUUCAGCUGGCCAAGGCCUGGGUGGCUUACAUAUUUCCCCCUCACCCCCCUACCCUCCAGACUUCCUGCAGGAAGCCAGCUAGGCAAUGGCUUUAGCUGGACUACAAGGCUUUCCACACUUGGAAUGAGUAUUUUCACUAAAGAAGCAGCGGACAUGGCAUCUCUGCCUUUCCUCUGGCCUCCCGGGUCUCUGGGAGCCUGGGAAAGGAUUUCCAGCCAUACGGAGGUUUAUGGUAACACACUUAAUUAAGCACUGCAUUUUCUGCAUUGCGUGACUCAGCCUCCUUGAAAGAAACUGAGUCUGAACUGUGCUAAAUCUGAGGAGCUGGAAAUGAUGGAAGAGCCACUGGUAGGUGCCAGUGCUAUGCUAGGGAACAGGGACAGAGUAAUGAACAAAACAGACACAGUCCAUGUCCUCAUGGAGAUGAAAAGCAACGAACUGAUUAUAGGAGUCAUGGGCCAAAGCAGGAUAUGCUGCAGAAGCUUAUGGCAGGGACCUAACCUUCCUGAUGUCGGGGAAGACCUCUAAAGGGUAAGCAGGACUGUCUAUCUCCCAGGAGUGUCCAAACUUUUGGCAGCUCUGGGCCACACUGGAAGAAGAAGAGUUGUCUUGGGUCACACAUUAAAUGCACUGUGACACAAAAUCACAAAAUAAAUCUCAUUAUGUUUUAAGCAAAUUUACGGUUUUGUGUUGGGUCGCAUUCACGGCCAUCCUGGGCUGCAGGCGGGCUG